GAUUAGUGGCGAACGGGUGAGUAACACGUGGGCAAUCUGCCCUUCACUCUGGGACAAGCCCUGGAAACGGGGUCUAAUACCGGAUAAUACUCCUGCCUGCAUGGGUGGGGGUUAAAAGCUCCGGCGGUGAAGGAUGAGCCCGCGGCCUAUCAGCUUGUUGGUGGGGUAAUGGCCCACCAAGGCGACGACGGGUAGCCGGCCUGAGAGGGCGACCGGCCACACUGGGACUGAGACACGGCCCAGACUCCUACGGGAGGCAGCAGUGGGGAAUAUUGCACAAUGGGCGAAAGCCUGAUGCAGCGACGCCGCGUGAGGGAUGACGGCCUUCGGGUUGUAAACCUCUUUCAGCAGGGAAGAAGCGAAAGUGACGGUACCUGCAGAAGAAGCGCCGGCUAACUACGUGCCAGCAGCCGCGGUAAUACGUAGGGCGCAAGCGUUGUCCGGAAUUAUUGGGCGUAAAGAGCUCGUAGGCGGCUUGUCACGUCGGAUGUGAAAGCCCGAGGCUUAACCUCGGGUCUGCAUUCGAUACGGGCUAGCUAGAGUGUGGUAGGGGAGAUCGGAAUUCCUGGUGUAGCGGUGAAAUGCGCAGAUAUCAGGAGGAACACCGGUGGCGAAGGCGGAUCUCUGGGCCAUUACUGACGCUGAGGAGCGAAAGCGUG
rnacentral:rRNA from 1 species